UACGUAGGCAGCAAGCGUUGUUCGGAGUUACUGGGCGUAAAGGAUGCGUAGGCGGACAUUUAAGUCAGAUGUGAAAUACCCGAGCUUAACUUGGGUGCUGCAUUUGAAACUGGGUGUCUAGAGUGCAGGAGAGGUAAGUGGAAUUCCUAGUGUAGCGGUGAAAUGCGUAGAGAUUAGGAAGAACACCAGUGGCGAAGGCGACUUACUGGACUGUAACUGACGCUGAGGCAUGAAAGCGUGGGGAGCAAACAGG
rnacentral:rRNA from 1 species